rnacentral:lncRNA from 10 species
GAAAGCUACUGGCCGUGCUGAGCUUGCCACCCUUUGGUUCUCCCGCGAGCCUGUUUUCAUUGGUGCACUGCCUGCUUUCUGGCAUUUUCCCUCUACGAUGCUCCGUUGCGUCUCAGGCAGUGAAGAGAUACCAGAACUUUGUGACUUUGGGAAGUCACUUAAUUUCUCUGGACCUUUUUCUUUAUUUGCCGAAUGGAAAUUGUAAUGGCACCUGUGUAAAUGAAAUACCAAGAAUCCUUGUAAAACAUUAGCACGUACCUUACUACUGAUGCUGUAGCAAAGACAACUUUAUUCCCGAUUUUUGCAAUGCUGAUCUCCAACAGAACUCUCAUAAUUUUGAGAGAGAAUUGCUGUUUUUCCGCCAUGAACAAAUUG